rnacentral:rRNA from 1 species
AUUGAACGCUGGCGGCAGGCCUAACACAUGCAAGUCGAACGAGUGGCGGACGGGUGAGUAAUUUCUGGGAAACUGCCCGAUGGAGGGGGAUAACUACUGGAAACGGUAGCUAAUACCGCAUACCAUCGGAUGUGCCCAGAGGGGAUUAGCUAGUAGGUGGGGUAACGGCUCACCUAGGCGACGAGCCCUAGCUGGUCUGAGAGGAUGACCAGACACACUGGAACGGAGACACGGUCCAGACUCGUACGUGAGGCAGCAGUGGGGAAUAUUGCACAAUGGGCGAAAGCCUGAUGCAGCCAUGCCGCGUGUAUGAAGAAGGCCUUCGGGUUGUAAAGGACUUUCAGCUAGGAGGCGUUACUCGCAGAAGAAGCACCGGCUAACUCCGUGCCAGCAGCCGCGGUAAUUC